AACUUUGCACAAAUGUCAGAAGUGUGGGUAGGCACAAAUUAAGUGGCAGAGUCAAGAGAGGGGAUAGGGUAGUUUUGAUUUUCCUGUCUCAUCAUUAUCCGCUGUCUCUUGCUUCCCUGUUGCAGAUGUGGCACCUUAUAGCAUCCUGGUGCAGCCCUGAAGCUCCUGUCCUUGACCCCCACAUAGUAGGCAUUGACUUGCCAACCAGCUGUACCGAACACGGACGCAGCACCCGCAUCAGGAGAGAGAAAUACAGAUGCAGAAGCAGGACAUGGACAAAUGACAGAAGAUAAGGUAUUGCUCCGGCAAGCAGAACAUCCUGUCUUCAAGAUGGAUGGGUAAACUGAGACUGAAAGUGGUUACUUGUGCCAGUUUGCCUCACCCAAUCAAUCAARGAACAAAACAGCACAGAACUUACGAUGGCCUGGCUUCCACUUCACUGGUCAAACUUUUACCAGAUCACGUCUCAUGCCAGGAGGACCUUAUGCUAACAACCUCAUUGUAUUUGAGAGUAAGAUACAGGGCUCUAGACUCCAUUAUUGCAGUAACACUUGAUCGCUUGUAUUCCUGCCUAUUAGUUUAGCAUAUACAAUUACUUUUACAGCGAAAUAAAAUAACUUCAGAAAUUCA
rnacentral:lncRNA from 1 species